rnacentral:rRNA from 1 species
GAUGAACGCUGGCGGCGUGCCUAAUACAUGCAAGUCGAGCGAACAGACGAGGAGCUUGCUCCUCUGACGUUAGCGGCGGACGGGUGAGUAACACGUGGAUAACCUACCUAUAAGACUGGGAUAACUUCGGGAAACCGGAACUAAUACCGGAUAAUAUAUUGAACCGCAUGGUUCAAUAGUGAAAGACGGUUUUGCUGUCACUUAUAGAUGGAUCCGCGCCGCAUUAGCUAGUUGGUAAGGUAACGGCUUACCAAGGCGACGAUGCGUAGCCGACCUGAGAGGGUGAUCGGCCACACUGGAACUGAGACACGGUCCAGACUCCUACGGGAGGCAGCAGUAGGGAAUCUUCCGCAAUGGGCGAAAGCCUGACGGAGCAACGCCGCGUGAGUGAUAAAGGUCUUCGGAUCGUAAAACUCUGUUAUUAGGGAAGAACAAAUGUGUAAGUAACUAUGCACGUCUUGACGGUACCUAAUCAGAAAGCCACGGCUAACUACGUG